rnacentral:rRNA from 1 species
UACAGAGGUCCCAAGCGUUGUUCGGAUUUACUGGGCGUAAAGGGUGCGUAGGUGGCGGGGUAAGUCUGGUGUGAAAGCUCCGAGCUCAACUCGGAAAAGCAUUGGAAACUAUCCCGCUGGAGGGUCGGAGGGGAGACUGGAAUUCUCGGUGUAGCAGUGAAGUGCGUAGAUAUCGAGAGGAACACCAGUGGCGAAGGCGAGUCUCUGGACGACUCCUGACACUGAGGCACGAAAGCUAGGGGAGCGAAACAGG